UCCGCGCCGUAGCUAACGCAUUAAGUGCCCCGCCUGGGGAGUACGGCCGCAAGGCUAAAACUCAAAGGAAUUGACGGGGGCCCGCACAAGCGGCGGAGCAUGCGGAUUAAUUCGAUGCAACGCGAAGAACCUUACCAAGGCUUGACAUGUGCCGGUCGGCUCCGGAGACGGGGUUUCCUCCUUGUGGGGCCGGUUCACAGGUGGUGCAUGGUUGUCGUCAGCUCGUGUCGUGAGAUGUUGGGUUAAGUCCCGCAACGAGCGCAACCCUUGUCUCGUGUUGCCAGCACGUUGUGGUGGGGACUCGCGGGAGACUGCCGGGGUCAACUCGGAGGAAGGUGGGGAUGACGUCAAAUCAUCAUGCCCCUUAUGUCUUGGGCUUCACGCAUGCUACAAUGGCCGGUACAGAGGGCUGCGAUACUGUGAGGUGGAGCGAAUCCCUUAAAGCCGGUCUCAGUUCGGAUCGGU
rnacentral:rRNA from 1 species